GGAUGCUGGUUUAUUAAAAUAAUGUCAGUGGGCUUAUUAACAACAGGAUCUGUUGGGCCUUCAAGUCAUCAAGCUUUGACAGAGAGGCCCAUGCAUCCAAUGCUGAGAAGACUCAAGGCUGAAAGUGGAAGUGGGAGCUUCCUGUUUGGUGGAAGAUGACUCCAGUGGCUGCAUCAGGAAACAGAGGAGCAUAAGCAGGAAACUGGUGAAGUUACUGCCGUCUUAAUGAGAAGGAACACGAGGCAACGGGAUGUGAAACGAUCUCUGGAGUCACAGAGGGAGCCCACACUGAACUCAGGAGAGAAUGCAGAAAGCUGGGAAUCUUCCUCUUCUGUGCAAAGAGGGGUUUCUCACAAGUAAGCAGACUACUGUUUUUGAUUCUCCAUCAAAGUCAGCCUCCUUAAUUUAAAGCAGGAGGAAGUCAGACUCUGCACCCAGUUAUCUGCAGGCUUUCAA
rnacentral:lncRNA from 1 species